rnacentral:rRNA from 1 species
UACGGAGGAGGCAAGCGUUAUUCGGAAUUAUUGGGCGUAAAGGGCGCGUAGGCGGCUAGAUGUGUCAAAGGUGAAAUCCCUCGGCUCAACUGAGGAACUGCCUCCCAAACUGCUUGGCUUGAGACCGGGAGAGGUGAGUGGAAUUCCCAGUGUAGCGGUGAAAUGCGUAGAUAUUGGGAGGAACACCAGUGGCGAAGGCGGCUCACUGGACCGGUACUGACGCUGAUGCGCGAAAGCGUGGGGAGCAAACGGG